UCAGCCACCAAUGUGAAAUUCUUCUCUGCAUCAAGUAUUUUUCCAACAAGAUUACAUUCACGGAGAACAUGCCCAAUAAGAAUACCAUUCUUGCUCUCCAAACAUGAAAAUAUUAUGUUCUCUACAUGGUGAUGCAAAAAGUUAUUGUACGGAUACUCAAAAAACAAAUCUAAAAUCCUUUGGACUGCUCCAAGACGAAUCAAUUCCUUCUCAGCAGUUUCGCUUCUAACCAUCAGUAACACUGAAAUGAAUUCUACAAUCUUCAAACGAUGCUUUCCCAG
rnacentral:misc_RNA from 1 species